AUGUUAGCGGCGGACGGGUGAGUAACACGUGGGUAACCUGCCUGUAAGACUGGGAUAACUCCGGGAAACCGGGGCUAAUACCGGAUGGUUGUCUGAACCGCAUGGUUCAGACAUAAAAGGUGGCUUCGGCUACCACUUACAGAUGGACCCGCGGCGCAUUAGCUAGUUGGUGAGGUAACGGCUCACCAAGGCGACGAUGCGUAGCCAACCUGAGAGGGUGAUCGGCCACACUGGGACUGAGACACGGCCCAGACUCCUACGGGAGGCAGCAGUAGGGAAUCUUCCGCAAUGGACGAAAGUCUGACGGAGCAACGCCGCGUGAGUGAUGAAGGUUUUCGGAUCGUAAAGCUCUGUUGUUAGGGAAGAACAAGUGCCGUUCAAAUAGGGCGGCACCUUGACGGUACCUAACCAGAAAGCCACGGCUAACUACGUGCCAGCAGCCGCGGUAAUACGUAGGUGGCAAGCGUUGUCCGGAAUUAUUGGGCGUAAAGGGCUCGCAGGCGGUUUCUUAAGUCUGAUGUGAAAGCCCCCGGCUCAACCGGGGAGGGUCAUUGGAAACUGGGGAACUUGAGUGCAGAAGAGGAGAGUGGAAUUCCACGUGUAGCGGUGAAAUGCGUAGAGAUGUGGAGGAACACCAGUGGCGAAGGCGACUCUCUGGUCUGUAACUGACGCUGAGGAGCGAAAGCGUGGGGAGCGAACAGGAUUAGAUACCCUGGUAGUCCACGCCGUAAACGAUGAGUGCUAAGUGUUAGGGGGUUUCCGCCCCUUAGUGCUGCAGCUAACGCAUUAAGCACUCCGCCUGGGGAGUACGGUCGCAAGACUGAAACUCAAAGGAAUUGACGGGGGCCCGCACAAGCGGUGGAGCAUGUGGUUUAAUUCGAAGCAACGCGAAGAACCUUACCAGGUCUUGACAUCCUCUGACAAUCCUAGAGAUAGGACGUCCCCUUCGGGGGCAGAGUGACAGGUGGUGCAUGGUUGUCGUCAGCUCGUGUCGUGAGAUGUUGGGUUAAGUCCCGCAACGAGCGCAACCCUUGAUCUUAGUUGCCAGCAUUCAGUUGGGCACUCUAAGGUGACUGCCGGUGACAAACCGGAGGAAGGUGGGGAUGACGUCAAAUCAUCAUGCCCCUUAUGACCUGGGCUACACACGUGCUACAAUGGACAGAACAAAGGGCAGCGAAACCGCGAGGUUAAGCCAAUCCCACAAAUCUGUUCUCAGUUCGGAUCG
rnacentral:rRNA from 1 species